UCACCAAUUUAUAUGCCGAUAGAGGUUAAAAAAUGCAUUAUAUCAAAUUUUUUUAACUGGCUAAAGAUCACAUUUACAAAAAUAAAAGAAAAAUGCAGUGUGCUAACCCAAGCAUAUAAAAACUGUAGUCUGUAGGUUAACAUAAUGACCAGGUAAUAAUGUUUAGUCAUUUUGAGUCCACAUAACGAAUUACACAUCAACAAUGAGUUUGGCAUAUGCUUAUUAUUGAUUGAACAUAUUGGUAACAGUGCACAACAAAAGUAACUCACCUGUCUAUGGCUUACGAUGAUGGCAUUCCGAUUUGCACCAGCUGAUGAAACUGAAGUGGAUGGAGCUUCAGAAUGAAUGGUUUGCCUAGAAGAUGACAAAAAUAGCUCUUGAUGUAACCAACAUCCUACAUGAACCACUCUAAAGCAAAAAAGCGUUCUCAUAAUUAUACAUAGAUAUAUAGAGACCUUGGAUGGGAUCCUUGAGAGGAUGAAGGGGCAUCUUUGGAGGACUGAGCCACUGGUGCAGACGGCGGGGUGGUGUAAAAUUCAGUGUUUUUGAUAAAAUUGAAAGCUUGAGAAAAGGAGGAGGAAGGCUUGAAUAAAGACUGCGACUUAGGUUGGGCGCUCUCAACCACCUCUUCAUAUGAAGGUAUUUUCACAACAAAUGAUGCAUUAUUCUGUUUCUGCUGCUCAGGAUCACCUCUGUUUUCCAUCUUCACAACUCACUCUCCUAAUUCACCUUUCCAAAAUCCCUCCUUUCUACUUCCUUCAUCAGUUUAAAUCAAAUUUAACAUUAUAAUUUUACCCUACCUUCAGAACAUUCAAUAAACACAUACAACCAAAUCAAUUCAGUAAAAAUUCAGCCUUCACUACAGAAAAUUCUACCGAAUUCUUCCGAAGAAGUCUUACGGGACAAAUCAAAUCCAUGAAUUACAGCAAAUUAACAACGUAAUUUGUUUCAGAAAGUGGUCGCAUAUAAAUCGACCUAAUUUAGAUGAAGAAGGAGAAGUACCUCGAAUGGAAGAGCAGAAGUGAUGGCGGAACAAUUUAGCCGGAACGGAUGAUGCGCACAGCGGCGGCGGCGGCGGAGGCGGCUUGCUUACCGAUGCUCCAGACGGCGGCGGAGAAACGCGGCCAAGGAGAGAAUUGGGAGAAACAAUAUUAAAUAUCAACUGUAAAAC
rnacentral:lncRNA from 1 species